UACGUAGGGGGCAAGCGUUGUCCGGAUUUAUUGGGCGUAAAGAGCGUGUAGGCGGCCUGAAAGGUCAGCUGUGAAAACUCGAGGCUCAACCUCGAGACGUCGGUUGAAACCAUCUGGCUAGAGUCCGGAAGAGGAGAGUGGAAUUCCCGGCGUAGCGGUGAAAUGCGCAGAUAUCGGGAAGAACACCCGUGGCGAAGGCGGCUCUCUGGGACGGUACUGACGCUGAGACGCGAAAGCGUGGGGAGCGAACAGG
rnacentral:rRNA from 1 species